rnacentral:rRNA from 1 species
CUUGCCUCAAAGAAGCUUGCCCUGCGCAGGCUAUGGAAUGGGCUGGGAGACAGGUGCCGAAGGUAUGGCUGGUGAUUGGGAUG